UACGUAGGGUGCAAGCGUUAAUCGGAAUUACUGGGCGUAAAGCGUGCGCAGGCGGUUUUUGUAAGACAGGCGUGAAAUCCCCGGGCUCAACCUGGGAAUGGCGCUUGUGACUGCAAAGCUAGAGUGCGGCAGAGGGGGGUGGAAUUCCACGUGUAGCAGUGAAAUGCGUAGAGAUGUGGAGGAACACCGAUGGCGAAGGCAGCCCCCUGGGCCAGCACUGACGCUCAUGCACGAAAGCGUGGGGAGCAAACAGGAUUAGAUACCCGUGUAGU
rnacentral:rRNA from 1 species